UACGUAGGGGGCAAGCGUUGUCCGGAAUCAUUGGGCGUAAAGCGCACGUAGGCGGAUUGCUAAGUCAGGGGUGAAAUCCUGGAGCUCAACUCCAGAACUGCCUUUGAUACUGGCGACCUUGAGUCCGGGAGAGGUGAGUGGAACUGCGAGUGUAGAGGUGAAAUUCGUAGAUAUUCGCAAGAACAUCAGUGGCGAAGGCGGCUCACUGGCCCGGUACUGACGCUGAGGUGCGAAAGCGUGGGGAGCAAACAGG
rnacentral:rRNA from 1 species